rnacentral:rRNA from 1 species
UACAGAGGUCUCAAGCGUUGUUCGGAUUCAUUGGGCGUAAAGGGUGCGUAGGCGGCGCGGUAAGUCGGGUGUGAAAUCUCGGAGCUUAACUCCGAAACUGCAUUCGAUACUACCGUGCUUGAGGACUGGAGAGGAGACUGGAAUUUACGGUGUAGCGGUGAAAUGCGUAGAUAUCGUAAGGAAGACCAGUGGCGAAGGCGGGUCUCUGGACAGUUCCUGACGCUGAGGCACGAAGGUCAGGGAGCAAACGGG